AGAGCUCAAAUUUGUAAUCUGGCGGCCUGCGGCUGUCCGAGUUGUAUUCUAUAGAAGCGUUAUCCGUGCCGGACCGUGUACAAGUCUCUUGGAACAGAGCGUCAUAGAGGGUGAGAAUCCCGUCCUUGACACGGAAGCCCGGUGCAUUGCGUUGCGCUUUCUACGAGUCGAGUUGUUUGGGAAUGCAGCUCAAAUUGGGUGGUAAAUUCCAUCUAAAGCUAAAUAUUGGCGAGAGACCGAUAGCGAA
rnacentral:rRNA from 1 species